GAUGAACGCUAGCGGCAGGCCUAAUACAUGCAAGUCGAGCGGCAGUCGUAGCAAUACGAUGAGAGCGGCGCACGGGUGAGUAACACGUACAUAACCUGCCUUUGACUGGGGGAAAGUCGCGGGAAACUGCGAAUAAUCCCGCAUACGAUUUCUGAGUGGCAUCACUUGGGAAUGAAAGCCUUCGGGCGGUCGAAGAUGGAUGCGCGGCUGAUUAGCUAGAUGGAGAGGUAGCGGCUCACCAUGGCGACGAUCAGUAGGGGGCGUGAGAGCGUGCACCCCCACACGGGUACUGAGAGACGGACCCGACUCCUACGGGAGGCAGCAGUAAGGAAUAUUGGGCAAUGGACGCAAGUCUGACCCAGCCAUGCCGCGUGCAGGAUGAAGGCGUUAUGCGUUGUAAACUGCUUUUGUAUGAGAAGAAUGACGGAGAUUUAUCUCUGGAGAGACGGUACCAUACGAAUAAGCACCGGCUAACUCCGUGCCAGCCGCCGCGGUAA
rnacentral:rRNA from 1 species